UUUCCGUAGGUGAACCUGCGGAAGGAUCAUUACAGAGUUCAUGCCCUCACGGGUAGAUCUCCCACCCUUGAAUAUUUAUACCUUAGUUGCUUUGGCAGGCCGUGGAAACACCAUGGGCUCCGGCUUAUGCGUGCCUGCCAGAGGAAACAAACUCUGCUUUUAGUGAUGUCUGAGUACUAUAUAAUAGUUAAAGCUUUCAACAACGGAUCUCUUGGUUCUG
rnacentral:misc_RNA from 1 species